UUGUAAAAUACUGAGUAUUUGCCAACUCAGCUUCUGGUUGUCCUUUGGAAUAGUCGUUGUCCAGGAAAAUAAGAAAGUGUAAAGGCCAGAAAUACAGAGAGUGAACAACAGAAGGAGAAUGAUGGCAGAGCCAAGAAGCCAGAGAGAAGAUUUCAAGGGACAACACAAAAAUUUGCAAAUUAAAUAUUUUCUCCCGGUCUCUUCAUGAAGAAAUGCUGAAAUCAUCUGGCAGAAGUUAUUCAAGGUUCUAGCUAUAUACACAUAUUUAAUCUUUAUUGGUUUUCCGA
rnacentral:lncRNA from 1 species